UUCAAUGCAGACAAGAUUCUCAGUACCUGAAAACUUGUGUGAAUCGUUCACUGGAGCAGUUGGCUCAGGCCAAAAUCCCAUGUCUUGGUUCUGAUACCGUGGAACUUGAUCCAUAAUCUCCUUAUGAGGCAAGGCAAUAUUGGCUCCUGGUUUAAUUGAUGAUUCUAACUUCCAGUCUUUCAAUGAUCCAGCAUCUGCAGUUAGUGUUUCUGAUUGGACUGAUACUUCAUAUACCUGCAUGAUCUCAUCCUGUUCGACCAUUCUAAGAUUCUCUGCACCAGGAAUAGACUGACAUUCGUUCUGAUAAUCAAAAUUUGGAUUCUGCUGAAUCACAAUUUUCUCUACUGUAGAUGAGCUGGUGUUGUUCCUUGGCAAAUUAACUGCAGGAAGCGUAGAAGAGGUAGGUUCCUUGUGAUAUACAUAUGAGGCACUAGACUGUGGCUUAGAAGGUAAAGUCUGGCUACAAACAAUAGGCUGCUGCAUAUCCCACUGGGGGACAAUUCCAUUACC
rnacentral:lncRNA from 1 species